rnacentral:lncRNA from 1 species
GUGGAAGCAAGCGAAUAAAUAGUGCAGCGCUCUUCUCACUGGUUCUGCUGUGCAAAUCGACUUCACAGCCCUUCCUCGCCUCCUCGCCCCUGCUUCGGCGUGCUUUGUGUCGGGGAAGCAAAUUGGUCACAUCUGCAUCCGGCCAGGGAGGAACAAAUGUGCUGGCUAGGCAGCAACGAGCUUUCUGAGGGGGAUGCCUCAAAGUGAAAUGAAAGGUCGGCCAUCAAAGCUGCCACCGCGUCUAAUCGCCACUGUCAGCAGCAGGAGCAGAAUGCCUGCGAAUGGGAAAGCGCGCGGGCGCUGGGUAAAGGAGGAACACGCUCGCAGAGAAAAUAAGCACUGAAAACAUACGCAUCAAAUACAUCACAGGGUCGCGGGUUGCUCGCCCCUUCCUCCACAGGAGGCAGAUUCUCUUUUUCUCCUGGAGCCUCAGAAAAACCUCUCUGUUCAUCCGUGCCGGUCUUCUUCCCUGCCAGCUCAUCUUCUGACAGCCUGCUCCUGUGCCUCUAAGAGUUCCUUCUUGAGGAGCGACCAGCCCUCCUGGACCCCUCUACCCUUCAGGACUGAAUCCCAAGGGACUCCCUACAAGUGUCCUGAAUAGUUCAAAGUCUGUCCUCUGGAAGUCCAAGGUAGCAGGUUUGCUGCACCCCCUGCUAACAUCACCAGUGAUUGAGAACUCUACCCUUACGUGGUCACUCUGUUCAAGACAGCUCCCAGCCUACACAUCUCCCACCAGUUCUUCUCUGUUUGUGAACAGCGGGUCUAGCAGGGCUCCUCCCCUGGUAGACUCUCUUACCAGCUGUGUCAGGAAGUUAUCUUCCAUACACUCUAGAAACCUCCUAGACUGCUUUGUCUGCACUGUAUUGUACUUCCAGCAUAUAUCAGGGAAAUUGAAGUCCCCCAUGAGAACAAGGGCUGGUGAUUGUGCAACUUCUGCCAGGUGCUCAUGGAUGUCUCAUCUGUCUCUUCGUCCUGGUUA